rnacentral:rRNA from 1 species
UACGUAGGGUGCGAGCGUUGUCCGGAAUUACUGGGCGUAAAGAGCUCGUAGGUGGUUUGUCGCGUUGUCCGUGAAAACUCACAGCUCAACUGUGGGCGUGCGGGCGAUACGGGCAGACUGGAGUACUGCAGGGGAGACUGGAAUUCCUGGUGUAGCGGUGGAAUGCGCAGAUAUCAGGAGGAACACCGGUGGCGAAGGCGGCUCACUAAACUGUAACUGACGCUGAGGCACGAAAGCGUGGGGAGCAAACAGG